rnacentral:lncRNA from 1 species
AAGCGCUCUUCAAUCCCUUCUCUUUUUACCACUUCCAGGAGAAAUAAGUUUUAAUAUAUGAUUUCAUAAUAAAGAAAUAAAAACACACAGAAAUGGCAGAAAUAGACUUUUCCUCUUAAAGGCCCCACAACAGCCAUAACAGAAUCUUAGUUCUCUGUGCAGUUUAAACCCAUCAAUUUAUGCUGCACUGUAUUUUUCGUUGUAAGGUCCUAUGCUCUCACCUUGAUACCAGCUGCAUUUGCCAGAAUCACUAAGUAGGGCAGUAGGUAAAGUCCAGGACUAUAUGACUCCGAAGAAGUCAGCACCAAAGGGAUCCUGAUUUACAACAUGUGCUGUACCCUUCAUAGUGACUGAACAUAACCUUUAUGACAUUCCCUGUCCCAGAAGACCCAGGGGACAGAGAUCCAUUGUUCUUUCUGUCUCCCAAGGAACUGAGCACAGCAGAUACUGACUGGCACAACAUGUUUGUUUUCAGUUCAACAACAGAAAGACUCAUUUCAUUCAACUUUUGCAAGAUUCCUUCUCCCUCAAAUGUAUUUCAUCAUACGAUUGAUCAGAUACAGCUGGAAUUUUCAAUUCUCCCCUCCCUGCCCCCAACACCACCACCACCACUAUCUCACAAUUCCGAUGACCAUUUGAGGUACUGUUGUCCACAAUGCAGUACAAAGAAACAUGAUGGGAAUCCUGGAAGUUAUGGAGGACCAUUUACUUUGGAAGACCGAGAUUUCUCAUCCUUUUAAAGAAUUCAUUGUCCAGGAAAUGGCCACUUGCAAAUAUAAUCACAGAAAUAAUAAAUAAAUAAAUAAAUGUUAAGGACA